GAUCCUCCUGGGCCAUAGUCUAGGGGGCGACGGGGCAGGGUUCUCUAGUGCAGUAGUUCAGGGUGCGGUGGGGCAAGGAUAGUCCAGAUCUCCAUGGCGGGGGUUCCUCUGUGCAGGAGCCCAGUGCCCGGCGGAUCGGGGUCCCUCCGUGCUGUAGUCCAGGGCACGGCAAGAUGUGGGUCCUCUGGUGCCCUAUCCAGGGGGCGGUGGGUCAGAGGUUCUCCCCUGUCUUGGUCUAGGGCCCGGCGGGACUGAGGUCCUGGAGUCCACGCGGUAGCCCAAGUUGCCUCAGGACCAGGUCCUCUGGAUCCACAGUCCAGAGCACAGAGGGGCAGGAAUAGCUCAGGGCGAGCCAGGGCCGAGGUCCUCGGGAGCCACAGUCCAGGGUGUGGAGGGGUGGGGGUUCUGCAGUGGCACAGCCCAGGACACAGCGGGGCGGGGCGGGGAUCCUCUGGUACCUUAGUCCAGGGCGGAGCCGGGGGAGAGGUCCUUCAGUAGCAUAGUCUAGCGCAUGGCGUUGCAGGGGUCCUCCAGUGCCUGAGGCCAGGGCGGGUCGCGGGUCCCACUGUACUCUCGUUCAGGGCGGAGCAGGUCUGGGGUCUUCUGCUUCAGUCUAGGGUGCUGGAGAGUGGGGGUCCUCUGGUGCCAGAGUCCAUGGAGCCAUGGGUCGGCGUCCUGCCAUGUCUUAGCCCAGAACGGGGAGAGGCGGAGAUCCUCCUUUGCCCUAGUCCAAGGCAUUGUGAGGCCCCGCUCCUGCACAGAGGCGGUCUGUUCCUCUACCGCCGUGGGGAAAAACUGCACCAUCUCUGGCAAGCCUAACCCAGCAGCUGUCCUUAAAAGAUUCCCAGUUGAGUGUGGUUCAGAGCAGCCCUGAGAAGUGUGCCCUUAGAUGGCUUCAAGGGCUCUGGGCAGUGUUUAAGGAAUCCAGCUGACCUCAGUUACUCCAAGCCCUUUUCCACUCAGCAGAACUUCUGGCCACCCGGGUCCUCUAUCUGUGGAGCCCUUCUAUCAUCCCAGAUCCCCACAGGGUGGACUCCCUCUCAUCCUCACAAUCUCAGCUCAGGCCUUAUUCAUCACCGCAUUCCUGGCACCAGGCCUGGCCCAUGAGAAAUGGGUCAGAUUAAGAGCUAAAUGUGUUUUCAUGGUCACUUGUUUUCUUCAGGCCUCCUUUCUUUGUGCCAACAUCUUUGGGUUUCUGGUUAAAGUUUUCAGCAGCUGCAUGCGGUUCCAUUUUUCUUACCAGGUAAGAGACAUAGCUUCAUGAAAACAAAGGCAGAACGCUUGUGACCAGAGAACUCCCAGUCCUCUCCCUGCAUAGGAAAACUGGACUUCUCCGGAAGGCUCCAGCUCCUGGGCAAAUCUCUAGGGCCACUUAAUUGGGCUAUCCCCCACCUUUGUUUCUGGUUUUGAAGGGACCAAAGUUGGGAAUCCUUUUUCAGUCUCUACACACGGAGCCCUUCUUUGGUGGGAAAGUCUUAACAUAUACCAGGAUUCUCACUGACCUUUCAGAGCCUUCAAGAAUCCUGAGCUGCUUUGGCUUCUGUUCCUGGAAGAGAGGCCACUGAACUGCUCUGGAGCUGGAUUUCAAGUUCAGAUAUUCAUCACUGUUACUAAGCCUUUACAUAGCAUGUGAUUUCUUUCUGGCAGGCUCAUGGUCACCUAGGUUUGCUUAUAUGUAGAUGGAGGGUCUGCAUCCUCAUUCAGGUAACACCCUCAGUCUUUCAUGCUGAGAUUGGCCAUUUUAUUUGUAACUCACUGUACAAUCCAUUUGCUCUUCGAGUGUCCCUUAGAAGGAUGCAGAGUGUUCUGUAGAAUGCCAUAGAGACCUGGGUUUAGGGAAAAUAUUUGACCAAAUGUCCACCAACUCACAUGAGUAUCUCCCCACAACUUGUACAGUGCUAGUCUCUGGGUAUAUAGUAAAUGAAACCGUGCCUGAGCAGAUGUUACAAACGCCCUCCACUGUGAGACUGCAGGGCUGCUUUAUUCAAGCAACAGUGUGCUCUAAUAAGGUCAGAGUUGAGAGAAACAAGUUUUCAUUCCAGCUUUCUCAAAAACUCCCUUUGUGACUUUAGACAUCAUAAUAACACUACCUAAGUAGUGAACACCUCUGUGCCAAGAAAUAUCAUGGUCAUUGCCUGAGUUGUAAUUCUCACAGUAGUCCUACAGGAUAGCUGCUAUUACUGCUUAUUACGCAGAUGGACAACCUGAGGCUCAGAUGGAGUUAAGUGGCUUAAUUGGUAGCAAUCGAGCCAGGAUUUGAACCCAGGGCUGCCUGAUCACCAAAUAAAAUUGUAUUCAACAUGAUGCACUUAACUUUUCUGGCCUCAUUUCUCUCACCUGUAAAAAUGCAGGUUUCAGAUGUUUGUAAUAUUUUACCUGUGGUUUAAAGAGUUACCAGCCCUUCCUCGAUGACCCAUGGUAAGACCCAUGAGCCUUUGAAUAUAAUUAUAGAAAACAUUUGAAGAGGGAUAGAGAAAGACGAGAUCAUGGCUCCUUUGAUAACGUCAAAUUUUCAGUGCACUAAGCCAUACAUAGUGCAGUUUUCUAGCUUCCCUUUCACAAACGGUGUUGAAGAAAGUAAAUUAAGCAACUCAGCUAUCACUGGGAAUGCAGUAGAAGUAAUCAAGUCCAGUGCUGGGAGAUAGUUGCCAUGAUAUUCCAACAUGGACACCAGGAUCACAGUCGAUGACUAUGCCCUCCCUUGAAGAUGGUGGCUUGCCUCUCUUUCUGUAAGCAAAUGUCAUGUCAUAACAGUAUUAAACAAUUACAAGUAAUGUCCCCAUCUGCUUCUGCACUGCCUUUGAAAUACUAUUUCAGAUCUGCCAAAAUAAAUGGCAAACUCGUUAACAAGAAAGCAGGGUGGGGGGUGCAUUCAUCCCUGCCUUCCUGAGUAGUCUAUUCACCCAAAGACAAAAGGAUGACCAGCUUCCAUCAGGGAUAUUCAAAGACACAGUCACCCUGCCAUGCAGCCAGAGGCUGGCAAAGGUCCAAUCCCCUUUUUAAGAAGCUUGUUGGAUGAGCUCUUUAAACAUACAACCACAAAGGAAAGGCACAGCCAGUGUGAGGGAGGCUGAUAAGAUGGGCAUUUUGUUUGCUUCAAGGUUAGAAUGCAACUUGUCUAUCAAAAUGUGGUUAUCUGACCUCCACAAUGCUGCAGUCCAGUUAAAUACUGCAAAUAUUCAUCCACCAUUUACUAUGGAUAAAACAAUAAUGUGCUGUGGGGAAUCCAAUUACACAGACACACACACACCCAAGAAAGUGCACACACACGUGGGCACACACACUGCUCCUGCUGCCUCAGAGCUUCCAGGCCGGCAAGGAGUAAGUGCAAACAUUAGUAGGUAAGUCUGCUACCAGGAAGAAUAUGAUAAGUAGAUCCAACAGGGUACAACGCAGUAUGAUAGAAGCAAACAAGGUUGAGAUGAGUUCUGACUCCCUUUCACUUAUAAAACUGAUUAUGGAAUAGUUUAUGAAAGACUCGCCUGGAUGAAUCUCAUAUUUUCCAAGUGUUUUCUAUCCCAGUGAUUGGAACUUUUAUUCCUCUAUACCAUUGUCCAAAAAGAAAGAACAGGAGAUUUUCCUAAGACCAUCCUCUGUCUUAUCCCUCAUAUCCCAAACAUCACCAAGCCCUGUCCACUUUUACCUACUCAGUUUCUCUCCACUUGCUCUAUUUUCUCCAUAAGCACUAGCAAUACCUUGGUUACAUGACAUUCUGAGAAACUUCUUUGUGAUGUGUGCU
rnacentral:lncRNA from 1 species